UACAGAGGGUGCAAGCGUUAAUCGGAAUUACUGGGCGUAAAGCGCGCGUAGGUGGUUCGUUAAGUUGGAUGUGAAAUCCCCGGGCUCAACCUGGGAACUGCAUUCAAAACUGUCGAGCUAGAGUAUGGUAGAGGGUGGUGGAAUUCCUGUGUAGCUGGUGAAAUGCGUAGAUAUAGGAAGGAACACCAGUGGCGAAGGCGACCACCUGGACUGAUACUGACACUGAGGUGCGAAAGCGUGGGGAGCAAACAGGA
rnacentral:rRNA from 1 species